UGGGUCACAACGCAGACCCCCCUGUGUCCAAUGGGCUGGAAAUCCUGACCUGACCAGCAGUGCCAGGACUCUGUAUGUCCAAUCCCAACAGCCCCUCAAUGGCACAAGGCCACCUCUGCUCCAAAACCCCAGAGCAGCAGCAGCCCGAGACGUGGUGGGAAUCAAAAGCCUGUCAGAACACACGUAAACACCAAGCUCAGGGUUAUCUGAGCCGGGCAGACGCGGGCACCAUGAGGCAGGGAAACGUGAUGCCACCAGACAAGCCACGAUGGUUCACAGACAUCCCAACAUCCAAGCCCUAAGCUGGGAACACCCAGGGAAACACUUGGAAAGGUCCAGCCUGGGUGUUUGUAGCUGGGGUUGUGCUGCUGCCCCUCGCCUGGUGCAGACGGAUGUGCCGGAGUUAGUGUUCAAUAGUGCAAAGGGAGGGAGCCGCGGCCUCAGCCCCCCAAGCUCCACGUGUUUCCAGACUAACCCACCUGCAGUGGGUCCUUUUAGCCCUCCCUGAACCUCAGCGCUGGGACUAACACGAAGCCACGUGGAGCAUCUUAAAAUUCAGCAAGGCCACUUUGGUCCUAAUAGGAAUUCACUGGAUUUUAGGUCCCUGGAGAGGGUUAUUAAGGCAAAAGCAAUGCAGGAUUAAAAUAAAUCAAACCUCUGCACUGUGAAUCCCACUCUCCUUUCUGCUGGUGGACCUUGAUCCAAAGGUUAAUGAACUCCAGGCAGGAAAGCAGCAAGCCAAGGGGUGCAUCUCCAUGUACCAUCCCAACUCCAUGCGUGUGGCAGGGCUGGAAGAGUGUGGAGCAUCUCCUUGGCAUGGGAAGCCAGCCCUCCUUUAAAACCUGGCUCCGGUUCCAUUGGGAUUUGGUCUCACAGAACCAGACUUCCUGAGCCGGGUUAUCUUUGGUUCCUCCAGUGGAGGCUGCAUAAUAUUGCAAAACAGGACACACAAAAAGGGAACACAGAAGGGCAUAUUGGAGAGGCUUUAGGAAAUCAAUGUGGGAAAAGGGGUAAGUACCUAUAAAUGCUUUUUUUGGAGUAAUUCGGAAGCACUUUCCUGACA
rnacentral:lncRNA from 1 species